CUACCAACCAGACGUACAAGCUUAGGCCGCAGAACUCGAAAUACGGCAAGUCAAAGCAAUAUAAGAGCAAAUCAAACUGAUGAGCAACGCGAAGCGCGAAAUGAACUUGAACUGAAUCGAUAUCAAGAUAGAAAUGUUGUGUUUAAUCCCCACAAAGCUGCAUUCAGUUAUAAUGUGGCAAUUGAUUACAGUUCAGAGCAAAUUGUUGCUAUUGGACUAAUGAACAUUGUGUGUCCACAUUGGGAUUGAAAUUCAAAAAUGAAGCCUCUGGAUUGUGUUACGCCAGCGGCCAAGUCAAAUUGACGCCAUUGGUACCGCCACCAGAGCCACUACAUUCAUUGGUUAAUUUUUUGACUCAUAUCUAGCAGUACAAUAAUUGCUUUCAAAUGACAUCAUUUGGGGCAACAAAAGUUAUACGAGGCAAUUUUAUGCCUACUUUUAGUAAAUUCAGGGAUUCAAAUAUAUCAUCAAACAGGUUCCUUAUUGCCAGUGCCUGUUGAAGACUAUACAUUUUUGCAAAUAUAUUUUAUGGACAAUUCAGCAAGAGAAGUCGAUCAGCGUUGCGCACACAACAACUCAGUAAAAAGAUCCAUUGUGAUGAACAACUUCAAACAUUUUUCCAUCAAAUCAACACAAUGAAUUAGUUGCAUUAAUCACAAAUGCAUUAGACCGCAUGCCAUCAGAUAAUCACAAAAUUGUCAUCAGAGCCGAUAAGGCGCCUGCAGGAUAAAAUGCUGGACAUUUUAAUGUGCCAACAAUUAAUAAAGAGCGCGCGUGGUAUUUAACUCAGUGUUUACUUAAAAAUGCCAAGUUCUUCAAUAGCGAUUUGUAAAAAUAGUAUUGAAAUUAUUGAAUCCUAUGGAAUAAACACUAUUAUGAAAA